rnacentral:tRNA from 5 species
GGGCGAUUAGCUCAGUGGAAGAGCGCUUCGUUCACACCGAAGAGGUCACUGGUUCGAACCCAGUAUCGCCCACCC